rnacentral:rRNA from 1 species
GGAGCUUGUCCCGGAUGUUAGCGGCGGACGGGUGAGUAACACGUGGGUAACCUGCCUGUAAGACUGGGAUAACUCCGGGAAACCGGAGCUAAUACCGGAUAGUUCCUUGAACCGCAUGGUUCAAGGAUGAAAGACGGUUUCGGCUGUCACUUACAGAUGGACCCGCGGCGCAUUAGCUAGUUGGUGAGGUAACGGCUCACCAAGGCGACGAUGCGUAGCCGACCUGAGAGGGUGAUCGGCCACACUGGGACUGAGACACGGCCCAGACUCCUACGGGAGGCAGCAGUAGGGAAUCUUCCGCAAUGGACGAAAGUCUGACGGAGCACCGCCGCGUGAGUGAUGAAGGUUUUCGGAUCGUAAAGCUCUGUUGUUAGGGAAGAACAAGUGCAAGAGUAACUGCUUGCACCUUGACGGUACCUAACCAGAAAGCCACGGCUAACUACGUGCCAGCAG